rnacentral:rRNA from 1 species
UACGUAGGGUGCAAGCGUUGUCCGGAAUUAUUGGGCGUAAAGAGCUCGUAGGCGGUCUGUCGCGUCUGCUGUGAAAACUCAGGGCUUAACCCUGAGCUUGCAGUGGGUACGGGCAGACUAGAGUGGCGGUAGGGGAGACUGGAAUUCCGUGGUGUAGCGGUGAAAUGCGCAGAGUAUCAGGAGGAACACCGGUGGCGAAGGCGGGUCUCUGGGC